GGCCUUGCACAUGCUCCCAAAGUGGGAUGACUGAAACGCACAGCCCUGGUUGCCAACAGAGCCCCCAACCCUGAAUCGAUAGUGGCCACAGCCCAGAAACUACGAUCCUGGUUUAUUAUUAGCCGUCGGGGAAGAGGGACCAGCAGCAGCGGCGGCGGCAACUCCAUCUCCGGGCUCUUACGUAAGAAGGGUGGCUGGGCAUGCCUGGUGCACGUGGACGCGUGGUGUUCCCGCGGUGGCUCUGGCCUUGGCCAACUGCUGGGGGAGGGGAGCCUCGGAGGCUUUUGCCUCCCUCCAAGCCGGGUCUUUCCCAAUCUUUUCUGUAACAGCUGCUGCCAGGGAUGAAGAGCAACUCACCAUCCCAUUUGCACAUUUUCCCAAGAGAUCAGAUGUGGCAAUGGGCAGCAGUGGCCAAAUACCUACUUUUUUCCAAGUCCCUCUACUCGGAGAUGGUGGAGAGCCCUGGCCACGUGGCUUUUUGGCUGCCAAAGGGCUAGGAGAGGGUGACAGUAGUUAGGCCCGGUGUUGGGUGUCUUUCAUCAUUUAACAGAAAAGCAGGCAGGUAUCCAAUAAUAUUUUUUGGUGGUGGAGGGGGUGGGGAGUUUGAAAUGUUCCUUUCCUAAGAUAGUUCUUAAAACACAGGGUCAUUUAAUAGGGCCUAAGCCAUAUACUAAAUCUUUGGAUUUAACUUUUAAGAGCAUUGCACCUUAAAUUACACUUUGGGACUCCAAACCACAACCCGUUUUCAUUUAGUUUUUUUUUACCAUCUCGCUUCCCUUGCCAUGUCCUUCACUGGCUGAUCUCCAACAGUCCUACAGAUAAUUCAGCAAGAUCAAGUUUCUAAUUUUAAAUUGCUUUUCUCUAAAAUCUUUUAGGGGUGCUUUUACUAGAGUGUUUUCUCACAGGACAAGAAGUGCCAAAACAAGGGGGAGACACCUAAUAAAGGAGUUUAUUUCUUCCACUCUUUCUUUCACUUUGGAGAUGUAUAUCUAAAUGUUUUCCACAGCAAACAAUCAGACUUGGUGCUACCAGGACUGACCUGUGGGCAACAGGACCCAAGUCAGUGACCUCUGGAGACAGAGCCUAGCCUGCUGACCUCCACUUUCAGGGCUUAUUAGCUCUGCCAGAUCAUAGCCCAUGUUUUUCUAUCGAUAAAACUGAGGUAAUGUCACCUGCUCACCUAGCAGUCUUUGGGAGGUCAGUGGAAAGAAAAAUGUAGGGCAAAAAAUAAUUAUAUAAAUUUGAAGCGUUGGGAAAAUCUCAUCCUCCCACUUGCACCAUGGAGACUUAGAAACUUUUCCAGGGUCAGUUUCCUUAUCAACAAAAUGGAGCUUCUCCCAUGAGCUAUAGGCUUUUGGUUAAGGUUAAAUAAGACAGUGGAUGUAAAAAUUAUGUGAAUUUUAAACUACUUUCCAAAGAUUAAUUGUACUUACUGAAGGACCUCAUCAUAGCUAAGAAGUGUUUAUGUGAAGAGUCAGAAACUUUAAAAAUGUGGAAAUGGUUUAUGAUGAGCCACAGACCCUUUCCCCUAGUGCUUAGGCAGCAGGAGAGAACAAAACAGUUCAGGUUGGUUUUAAACCUUGACAACCAGUGAGCUACAAAGAGCAUUGCAAGAGGAAAAAUCGAGAAAAACACAUAUCCGGUUUGCAGUAGCUGAUCCUCUCAUUAAUUAAAACAUAUUUGUCCCCCCCCAUUACAGACCCUCUUGAUAUUUUAAGUACAUAUGCCUCUGGAAGAAAACUUCAGAUUGAGUUUAUUAAAUGCUGGAAUCCUGCCUCUUUUUGUCUUCGUCCCAGUUCCAACAAGGUGUGAUAAUAACUAACAGAAAACGGAAAUCCAAGUGAUCUAGCAAAGAGAUCGCAGCAAACAAGCCCGGGUUGAAAGAAGGCCCCUAAAGCCGCCCUUUUGGCCUCCACCCAUCCCCCGAUCCGUUUCCUUCCUUCCUCUAGUCUCGAGGUCACUCUUAAUCCUCCAGUUUUUUACUCCAGUCCCCGUUCUUUUACAUUUCUUAAAUACUGUAA
rnacentral:lncRNA from 1 species